UACGUAGGGGGCUAGCGUUGUCCGGAAUCAUUGGGCGUAAAGAGCGUGUAGGCGGUCCGGUAAGUCCGUUGUGAAAGUCAGGGGCUCAACCCUUGAAUGCCGGCGGAUACUGUCGGGCUAGAGUCCGGAAGAGGCGAGUGGAAUUCCCGGUGUAGCGGUGAAAUGCGUAGAGAUCCGGAAGAACACCGGUGGCGAAGGCGGCCUGCUGGGCAGUAGCUGACGCUGAGGCGCGACAGCGUGGGGAGCAAACAGG
rnacentral:rRNA from 1 species